AUACGGAGGAUCCGAGCGUUAUCCGGAUUUAUUGGGUUUAAAGGGUGCGCAGGCGGGAGAUUAAGUCGGCGGUGACAUUUUGCAGGCCCAAUGGAAAAGUGCCUUAGAAACUGGUUUUCUUGUGGGGAGAUUAAGGAGGCGGAAUUUUUGGUGUAGCGGGGAAAUGCAUAGAUAUCACGAGGAAAUCCGAUUGCGCAGGCAGCUUACUAAACUACUACUGACGCUCAGGCACGAAGGCGUGGGGAUCAAACAGGAUUAGAUACCCUGGUAGUCCACGCAGUAAACGAUGAUUACUAGCUGUUUGCGAUACAAUGUAAGCGGCUGAGCGAAAGCGUUAAGUAAUCCACCUGGGGAGUACGUUCGCAAGAAUGAAACUCAAAUGAAUUGACGGGG
rnacentral:rRNA from 1 species